GACGAACGCUGGCGGCGUGCUUAACACAUGCAAGUCGAACGGAAAGGCCCUGCCGUUGUUGCACGCGCGACGGGCGAACGAGUGAGAAACGCGUGAGUAGCCCGCACCUGUCUUUGGGCUAACGUAAGGUGACUCGGGCACAUACCGGAUAGGCGCUCUGGCUGCAUGGGGGUGGUUGGAAAGUUUCGGCGGUUGGGGAUGGCCUCGCGGCUUGCCGGCUGGUUGGUGGGGUAGUGGCUUACCAAGGCUUUGAUGGGUAGCCGGCCUGGGAGGGGGACCGGCCACAUGGGGCCUGCGAAAGGGCCCAGACUCCAACGGGAGGCAGCGGUGGGGAAUAUUGCACAAUGGGGGGAAGCCUGUUGCAGAAACGCCGCGUGCGGGAUGCCGGCCUCCGGGUGGAAAACCGCUUUCGCAUGUACCGAAGCGUGAGUGACGGUAACGGGUAAAGAAGCACCGGCUAACUACGUG
rnacentral:rRNA from 1 species